GCCUCGGUAGUGUAGAACGGCAGACCGGAUAUCUGUAAGUGCGGGUCCGAGUCCCGCCUGAGGUU
rnacentral:tRNA from 1 species